rnacentral:rRNA from 1 species
CACUCCUGCGGGAGGCAGCAGUGGGGAAUUUUACGCAAUGGGGGAAACCCUGACGUAGCGACACCGCGUGAGCGAAGAAGCCCUUUGGGGUGUAAAGCUCUGUCAGCUGGAACGAAAACAAUGACGGUACCAGCAGAGGAAGCAUCGGCUAACUACGUGCCAGCAGCCGCGGUAAGACGUAGGAUGCGAGCGUUGUCCGGAUUUAUUGGGCGUAAAGAGUUCGUAGGUGGUUUGUUAAGUUUGGUGUUAAAGAUCGGGGCUCAACCCUGGGACUGCACUGAAUACUGGCAGACUCGAGUGUGGUAGAGGCUAGUGGAAUUCCCAGUGUAGCGGUGAAAUGCGUAGAUAUUGGGAAGAACACCGGUGGCGUAGGCGACUAGCUGGGCCAUAACUGACGCUGAGGAACGAAAGCCAGGGGAGCGAAUGGGAUUAGAAACCCCUGUAGUCCC